GUAGCUUGCUAUGAUAAAAAUUAGUGGCAGACGGGUGAGUAAUGCAUAGGAAUCUACCUAGUAGUAUGGGAUAGCCACUAGAAAUGGUGGGUAAUACUGUAUAAUCCCUGCGGGGGAAAGAUUUAUCGCUAUUAGAUGAGCCUAUGUUAGAUUAGCUAGUUGGUAGGGUAAAGGCCUACCAAGGCAGUGAUCUAUAGCUGGUCUGAGAGGAUGAUCAGCCACACUGGAACUGAGAUACGGUCCAGACUCCUACGGGAGGCAGCAGUGGGGAAUAUUGGACAAUGGGCGCAAGCCUGAUCCAGCUAUGCCGCGUGAGUGAGGAAGGCCUUAGGGUUGUAAAACUCUUUCAGUGGGGAAGAUAAUGACGGUACCCACAGAAGAAGUCCCGGCAAACUCCGUGCCAGCAGCCGCGGUAAUACGGAGGGGGCAAGCGUUGUUCGGAAUUAUUGGGCGUAAAGGGCAUGUAGGCGGUUCGGUAAGUUAAAGGUGAAAUGCCAGGGCUUAACCCUGGAGCUGCUUUUAAUACUGCCAGACUCGAGUCCGGGAGAGGAUACGGAAAUUUUCC
rnacentral:rRNA from 1 species